rnacentral:piRNA from 1 species
UACCGGAACGUGGAGUGAGGACC